AACGUAGGUACCGAGCGUUAUCCGGAUUUACUGGGCGUAAAGCGCGUUCAGGCGGCUUGGCAAGUCGGGCAUGAAAUCUCUCGGCUCAACCGGGAGGGGCUGUCCGAUACUGCUGGGCUUGAGGGCAGGAGAGGGUGGUGGAAUUCCGGGUGUAGUGGUGAAAUGCGUAGAGAUCCGGAGGAACACCAGUGGCGAAAGCGGCCACCUGGCCUGCACCUGACGCUCCAACGCGAAAGCUAGGGGAGCGAACGGGAUUAGAAACCCCUGUAGUCC
rnacentral:rRNA from 1 species